rnacentral:lncRNA from 9 species
AAAGAAGAUAAAGUCAAAAUAUUUAACUUGGCAUUCUGAAAUUUUUAAAAUUGUAUUUAAACAAAACAAAACAUCUGGUAACUGGAAUUAAUGACUCAUUGAUUUUUUUGGUUUAUUCAUUUAUUUAUGCAUUAUAUACUGAAAUCUUUCAUCUUUUUUUUUUUUUUUUUUGGUAUAGUAUGCAACAGCUUGCUGUGGGAUCUCAGUUCCUAGAGCAAGUAUCGAAUCUGGACUACAGCAGUGAAAGCACUAAGUUCUAACCACUAGGCCACCAGAGAACUUCCCAAAUACUGAAUUCUUACGUACACUGGAGGCAGAACAUAUGUGAGUGUCUCAGCUCAACAACAGAAGAUGAAGAACCUUCCUGUUACUGUAAUACAGCUUUAAGAAGUACUUCUACAGCAAUAGAACUGGAAUCCAGAGCAACUAGUUGCAGUAAAAUGGUAAAUUACUGUUAUUUUCCUGACUAUGAAUACAAGCAGUAUACUUGUAAAGCCGUAAUAACACUAGAGAUGAUCGUUAGUGUAUUACAUUUAUCACAUCUUAAUGUGUGAUUUUCCACAUAGUUAUGGUUGUGGGUCUGUUACAGUAGUGUGCCUCUUGACCUUCUUUGAAGCUCAGAUUCUUUAAUUCUAUGUAUUUGAUCUAUAAACUUCAAUUUCUAAUGCUUAUUUGCCACUCUGUAUAUGUUUACUUCAGGUAUUAAAAAAAAUUGAGAAACCAGAAUAUGUAGCAACACAUUACUGGCUGUUAAUAUUGCUGCUUAUCUUGUUGAUAUUUUUGUAGUAUACCAUCAUCAAUACAUGAAAAGAACAGCUAUAUUUAGCACAACAAAUUCUAUGAAAUAUUUUGUUGGGAAAAACUUGAUCAGAAAACGUGUGCCCCUCCUGUUAGGUGUUUAUCUAAGAUGCUGUACUUUAAAAUAUGAAAAUAUGUAAAUGGUAUAUUAAUGUAAAAGAUUAUUGGAGAAUAGCAAAGCAUUGGCUGUUCUUUGAUUUUUGACUUGAUUUUCUAUUUAUUGCUUUAUUAUUUGGGGGAGCAACUGAACCUUUCCGUACAUUUUGUUUCAUCCGAAAUAAAAUGAAGCUGUCCUUUCCAUUAAAUAGUUCUUAUAUAAAACCUGAAUACUCAAGCAGA